GACGUAGGGGGCCAGCGUUGUUCGGAAUUACUGGGUGUAAAGGGUUCGUAGGCGGUGUGGCAAGUCGGGAGUGAAAUCUCUGGGCUCAACUCAGAGACUGCUUCCGAAACUGCUGUGCUGGAGUGUGGGAGAGGCGCGUGGAAUUGCAGGUGUAGCGGUGAAAUGCGUAGAUAUCAGGAGGAACACCCGUGGCGAAAGCGGCUCUCUGGGACGGUACUGACGCUGAGACGCGAAAGCGUGGGGAGCAAACAGG
rnacentral:rRNA from 1 species